rnacentral:rRNA from 1 species
AUACGUAGGGGGCGAGCGUUGUCCGGAAUGAUUGGGCGUAAAUGGCGCGUAGGCGGCCCGGUAAGUCUGGAGUGAAAGUCCUGUUUUUAAGAUGGGAAUUGCUUUGGAUACUGUCGGGCUUGAGUGCAGGAGAGGUAAGUGGAAUUCCCAGUGUAGCGGUGAAAUGCGUAGAGAUUGGGAGGAACACCAGUGGCGAAGGCGGCCUGCUGGACGACAACUGACGCUGAGGCGCGAAAGCGUGGGGAGCAAACAGGAUUAGAUACCCUGGUAGUCCACGCUGUAAACGAUGAAUACUAGGUGUGGGGGGACUGACCCCCUCCGUGCCGCAGUUAACACAAUAAGUAUUCCACCUGGGGAGUACGAUCGCAAGAUUGAAACUCAAAUGAAUUGGCGGG